GCAGGUUCAGUGAAAUCAGCAGUAGCUGGGUCAUUAACAGUUUUUUUCCUGGUCAUCAUUUUCCUGUCUGUCUUCCUGCUGAUUAGAAGAAAGAGAUCCUGGAAACAAACUUCAGGGUCCAGACAAAGAUCAAACAACAAAGCAGAGUCAAGAAGUCAACAGAAGAUGGAGGAAGAGGAAGAAGAUGGAGUUUAUACAGCUGUCAACUUUACCAGUUUCGCUUUAAGAAUAAGAGGUGAAGCUGAGGAGGAUGUGUCUGCGCUGUACAGCACAGUGAACAACAAACACAGAGAAUGAACACAAAUGGACAAUGUGCUACUAUAUUGUAGACGAUCAUUUCAGGAGUUCAUCAAUAACCAUCACUGGUUUACCAGAGUUUUUAUCUUGUUUGUAACAUCAGUGUGACACCAGUCUUAAAAUGUAGGUUUAGGUAAAUACACUGUUGUCAAAUCCUUAAACAAACCUUUGAAUCAUCAUAUCAGCUAAAUAUCAACUACAGCUGUAGCUAAUACAAGGUAUUUUACUGCUUCUUGGACCAUCUGCUAAUAAUUUGUUGAACUUAAAUUGUUUAAGUGUGUCUCACACUGUUAAGUUAUAAAACUUCUGCAUCGCUUGUGUGUCCAUCCUACAUAAGAUUAAGCUAUUUCUGUCCUGGUUCUGUAUCUGUCUUUUAUUUCUUGAUCAUGUUUUGAGUUUCCUGUUUUAUUUUGUCAAGUUUCUUAGUUUCCUUUCUCUCGUGUCUCCUUGUGUUUCUGUCAUGAUGUCUAUCUGUGUCAUGUUUUGAGUUUCCUGUUUUAUUUUGUUGAGUUUCUUGAUUUCCUGUUUCCUCAUGUGUCCUCUAACUGUGUUACUUACCUUAUGAUGAUUUCAUGCCAUGUUUCCAGUUUCCAUGCCCUUGUUCCUGCGAUUUUAUCCUGCUCUGUUUUGAUUAUUUUGUAUUUUCCUGCCCUCUGAAGUGUUUUGUGUUUUCCUGUUUAUUUUCUAUUAAUAACCCCCUUUUCCCAGAUUCCCUGCCUCCUCAUCUAUUGUCCAGCAUUCAGGUCCAACCUCACCUUUAUAAUACUGACAAUUUCUGUACACGAAUCUACUAAAUCAAAUGAAUGUGGCCUAACCAACGACCACAAUUACUAACAUGAAGUUCUCAAAAUAAAUGAGGCCAAUGAGAACAACAUUGUUUUCAA